rnacentral:rRNA from 1 species
CACGAACGCUGGCGGCAGGCUUAACACAUGCAAGUCGAGCGCCCCGCAAGGGGAGCGGCAGACGGGUGAGUAACGCGUGGGAAUCUACCCAUCUCUACGGAAUAACGCAUGGAAACGUGUGCUAAUACCGUAUACGUCCUUCGGGAGAAAGAUUUAUCGGAGAUGGAUGAGCCCGCGUUGGAUUAGCUAGUUGGGGGGGUAAAGGCCUACCAAGGCGACGAUCCAUAGCUGGUCUGAGAGGAUGAUCAGCCACACUGGGACUGAGACACGGCCCAGGCUCCUACGGGAGGCAGCAGUGGGGAAUAUUGGACAAUGGGCGCCAGCCUGAUCCAGCCAUGCCGCGUGAAUGAUGAAGGCCCUAGGGUUGUAAAGCUCUUUCACCGGUGAAGAUAAUGACGGUAACCGGAGAAGAAGCCCCGGCUAACUUCGUGCCAGCCGCCGCCGUAAUAC